GCUAGGGCCACCUUCGUAGGCCUGCUUACUGCUCUGCUCCAGUGUGGACCCACAUAGGACCAACUUCCAGUGCAGCAGUGUCUGGUUAGGCUGCCCUGUCUUUGACCUCUGCCUCCCAGCUCAGCCUCAGCUCCAGCUGCUGAUCGCUCUUACAGCAGCCGGGUCGCAGCAGGUCCCUGCUGAAUUACGCUCACCUCUUACUGAAUCUUUGAACGCCCCACACCCUCACUGCAUAUGAUUCAAAUCUGAAGUCUCUGCUUAGACAUCGCUCCCUUGAGGGAAAGGCCCUUGACCCAGAGACUCAGGCCCCAAUACUCUUUCUUGAAGCUCCCUGUACUCAAUGUGUAAAUAUGUACACUUCUAUAGUAACUCUGAUUUCCCUCAUUGUCUGACCGUGCCUCUUGCUUGAUAAUUUCGGGAGCACAGCGUCUUUGCUCUCCUGCCUGCCGCGCUCUGACGUCUAACGCACUGCAUAAUGCCGCCCAGGAAAGGAACAGGACAAGGGGAGGGGACCCGGAGGACAUGGCUUCUCACUGUCACCUGAUCUGGCCACACACUGCUUUUCAGACUCUUCUCAGUUCGCAAUUCCCAUGUUUGGCUCCUCACAGACGCUGCCCGCCUUUGACUGUUUCCAGCAGAUGUGAUGACCAAUCCUCCUCAGCAGCCUAGUGAGCCCAUGACUAUCAGCAGCCAAAGGCUUCUGAGCCAGCUGCGCCCCACCCCCACCCUCCUGGCGCCAAGGUGAUGAGAUUCCCUGCCUCUAUGACACCAUAAUCCUCUUUAUGAGCAGUGACUGGCUGGCUGACUCACUAGUGCCCCCUGCUGGCCACAUAGUCUGAUUUCACGCCAUUUUUUCUUUUCUCAAACAAAAAGAAAAAUUCUUUACGUUUAGAUCCUUGAACCACUUUAAGUUGAUUUUUAAAUAGGGCAUAAAGCAAGGGUCUCAUUUGAAAUUUCUGCAGGUGGAGAACCUAUUUUCUCCACAUCAUUUAAUCUAAAUGGUGCUAUUAUUUAUUGAAUAAUAAGUAGUGUGGUUAUUUCUUUCUCCAAGGAAUAUUUUUAGCACAUUUGUCAAAGAUUAGUUGGUUGUAGCACCUUGAACUUCUGGGAGAUUUCUCAAAAUGUUGAAUUUCCCCUUUAUUGGCCUUUGAAGGUUAGAGAUGAGCAGCGUUGGCCAAGUGGGUCCUCAGGAGAAUGGACACAGUGCAAUGGUCUCAGGCCAUUUGGGCAAGGAUUUCUGAGGUCCUGGAAUGAGGAUGACAAGAGCUCUGGGCCUGUGCAUUGGAGCUAUGGGCUCGUCAUCCUGUGGGAAGGCUCAUGAGUGAGAGAGCCAGAAAGAGACUCUGAAGUGUGGAUCCAGGGCAGGGAGCCCAGCCGCUGAGACUUAGAGCAGUACUCUUAGAACGUGUGAACUGUGCUCCUAUUCCAUAGCAACAAUCCAAGAAUUUCUUUGUCUACCUGACUUCUUCAGGUGGCCAUGCUUAGAGUCAUCCCUAAAAGCUGUUCUCAGGAAAACGCCUGGAGUCCUUCCCAUCUCCAAAAGUGUCCAGCAUUUUAGUUUAGAUGGAGGCUUUGAUCUGUAAGAAAUAAGCUGCUUCUGAGACGAAUACAGGGCAGGAGAACGAGAGAGAGAGGUAUAAAUGGCAGUGUGCCUAUAAAGAAGUGUUUAUACAAAACUAAAAGAAUGUCAACCAGAAUAUCAUGAGAGCCUGGCAUUUCCAUGGCAAAUUGCCAAAAUUCACUGAUUGCUGAUGCAUAUGUUAUGAUGCGAAUAUUCUCAUGUCCUCUUAGUGAGAUUUUACUUUACAAAUAUUUGAUGGAAUAUUAUUAUAGCUAAAAGAAGUGUGGAGUCUGUUGGUAGAUGAUAUGCAAAGUUCUUUAAGCUGUGUGUGACAUGGUAAAAGCAAGAAACAAUAUAUGAGUAUAUUCCCUUUCUUAUAAAAACUCUGAAUGCAGUAAGGUACAUAGAAACUAAGUUAAACAUAUGUGUUAGUAUAUACAUGAACAUUUCCUAUAUAUCACACACAUGCACUUUACACAUGAACACACACAUGCACACAUGGAUAUGUUACCAGAGGGAAGGCCGUGGAAGCCGUGGGUUCUUGUCUUCACGCAAGAAAGAAUUCAGGCGUGAGACAGUAGAGUGAUAAGGCUUUAUUGGGGAUAGGGCAUCCAUCAGAACGCAAGGGACAGAGAGAGAGCACCCAGUCACUCUCUCUGCGGGAGAGCGAGGUUACAUGGUUGAGUGGAGAGAAUACACCUGGGCAGGCCAGGCGGGUGGCUCAGCAGAGAGGCAGAGGGCUGAGUACAUAGUAUGUUUGCACUCCCUAGGUUUUAAGGCCUGGGCAGAGUAGGGGGGGCUUCCCUUAGGGCAUCUGAGAAGGUUUUAUUGCCCCAUGUUGUCAGGUAACCCCUUUGGUCCUGAGGAGAGAGAAUUCCCCUGGGAGCUUUCCUUGGGGAAGGGCUGGGGCCACCUGGGAGGUCAUCAGGGUCUGGGCAGGACUUUGAAGUGCAAGGUGCUGGGCUUCUGGAGCUUCCACAGUAGGUGUGGGUCUUCAGGCCCUUCUCAUACACAAAUAGGCUCAAUUUCUGACUUCCUACCUAACAGAUACACACACUGCAUACAUAAAUACACAUACACCACCCAGGGCCCUUUGUGCUGCUGGUCUGUCUUCUCCAAGAUAUCCCCAUGACUAACUCCCUCCCUACUUCAAGUCCUUACUUAGAUAUUACUUUCUCAAUGAGGUACCCCCCCAUCUUCCCAAUUAAAAUGAUAAUCUUCCCCUUUGUUUUCCACUUUAAUUAUCUUUAUACAGACCCAUUUUGUUUUCCUUUGGGAGUAAUUUCACAUAUAUGCACAGUAUAAUGUCUUUAUUUUCUAUAUCUUUGUGUAUUGUCUUUGUUCUUGAAUUAAAAUGUCAUCUCCAGGGGUGCAGAAGAAUAAGAUCCUCCAGCCAUAGUUACCCCACAGAUACAUCAAUGUGAAUGCAUUUCAUGCACUAAAGCAAUCAGGGAAGAGAUCACAAUUCCUGGGUCUUACAUAAUCAUAAGAAAGGGUGCGUUGAGGCUGGUGCCAUGGCUCACUUGGUUAAUCCUCCACCUGCGGCGCCAGCAUCCCAUAUAGGCACUGGGUUCUAGUCCCGGUUGCUCCUCUUCCAGUCCUGCUCUCUGCUGUGGCCUGGGAGGGCAGUGGAGGAUGGCCCAAGUGCUUGGGCCCCUGCACCCACAUGGGAGACCAGGAGGAAGCACCUGGCUCCUGGCUUCGGAUCAGCACAGCAUAGGCCAUGGCGGCCAUUUGGGGAGUGAACCAAUGGAAGGAAGACCUUUCUCUCUGUCUCUCUCACUGUUUAUUUAUUUAUUUAAUUAAAUAAAUACAUUUAAAAAACAAAGGAAAGGAUGUGUUGAAAAAGGCAGACUUGGCAGGAUUGCCCACAUCACUGCCCUGCUUUUUCAAUUCCAAAAAGCAGAGUAUGGAGAGUAAGCAGGAGGGAGAAGACAUUAAUUCCAUACCUCAGACUUGCAACCCAGUUCCCUUCCUGCCACACUGAAAUCCAAUAGUAGAGAGAGCCCUGUAGAGCCUACCUUGAGGCCCAUGCACCCAGUUUGAACCUCUGUACCCUCGUUAGCCUGGGCAGGUGCUUCAUCCACAACCCUUUCCCCAACAUCAGACAGCAGAGUAUGGAGAAAGAUUCCAUCUGCUAAGAAGUGAGAUGGAAUUUAGUACUGGGUCAUCGAAAUGAAACACCAAGGGGAUUCCACUGGUCUCUGUGAACAUGUCCUGGUCCCUAGCAGAGACCUGCAGCUCUGGUUGAACAAAACUAUAUUCCAGCCAGAAUCACCUGUGGCUGCCUGCAGUGGUCUUGGAUCACAAUUUCCCCACCAUCACAGCAGGCAGGCCAUACAAAUGAGGGCCUUGGUCCUGCCACCGUGCUGCACUGAUGCUGGAGGUCUCUGGGCUCUGGGUGUGACCAGGAUUGUGGCACUGGUACCUGUGGAACUGCCCACCUUGUCCCUUUCCCAAGCUCAGACAGAAUAACACAGAGUCAUUGUCUUCUUGGGGAAAUAAGAGGGAGGGAGACACCAAAUUGCUGUCAAAUGCUUGGGGCCAGUUCCUCCAUGGUGAAGGCUGGUAUUGAGAGAAAUGCUCUAGCACCUGAACAGAGGCUGGUGACUAUGAAUGAGACAUCAAGGCCUGCCCUGGCCCCAGGCAGACACAAGCAGGAAGAGUCUGUCUUUUUAUUUUAUUCAUUUGUUUUUAAAGAUUUUUUUUUUCAAUUUGAGAGGUAGAGUCACAGAGAGAGAGAGAGGGAGAGACAGAGAAAGAGGUCUUCCCAACCACUGGUUCACUCCACAAAUGGCCUAGAUUAUUUGAAGCCAGGAGCCUGGUGCUUCUUCCAGAUCUCCCACAUGGGUUCAGGGGCCCAAACACUUGGUCCAUCUUCUACAGCUUUCCCAGACCACUAGCAAGGAGCUGGAUCAGAAGUGGAGCCGCCAGGACUCCAACUGGUGCCCAUAUAGUAUGCCAGCACAUGCAGAAGCUUAACCUACUUUGCCAUAGCGCUGGCAUCCCAGUCUAUCUUUUUAGGCCUGCACCUCUUUGAAGUCCAUUCUGAACAGCACACCAACUGCAGAUUUGAGAUAAACUUGGGCCUGGAAUCAAAGCAACACAUCAGGUAUGGAUUCAUCGGCGUUAGAACCAAAAUAAUAGCAGUAGCCAUAGCCUUGGAGAAAGUAUGAGGUCUGCAAAAACAUAUAUUACUAACACCUGUGCAAGAAUUUCAAAUAUUUUGAAUGAAAAUAAACUUAUUUUUAAUUCCACUUUUCUAUGCAUUUUUUGAAAUAACUUCAUGAGCAGGCACUUUAGAAUUUCUGUAAAUACAGACACAAAAAAGCCAGAUUACACAGAACAGAAUAAAUACCCAAUUUUUCAAUGUGCAGCUGUUGUAUACUAAUACACAUCAAGAAUUUUCAGGAAACCAUGACCUCAGCCAACAGACCAAAUAAGGAAUCAGAACAACCAUAUAGCAAAUAAUAUGUGUUAAUUCUCAUCUAGACAAUUUAAAAAUAGCUGUUUUAAGGAAACCCAAUAAAUGUCAAGAAAACACAGAGGAGCAAUUUCUUGUUUUAUCAGAGAAAUUUAACACGCUGAAGUAAUUAUUUAAAAAAAUCAAACAAACCAUUGAGCUAAAAAGUAUACUUAGCAAAAUGAAAAAUGUGGUAGAAGGCAUCAAUAGUAGAAUAGAACAAAUAGAAGAAUCAGUGAGCUUAAAGACAGACUAUUUGAAAAUACACAGAGGAUGGGGCCGGUGCCGUGGCUCACUUGGUUAAUCCUCUGCCUGUGGUACCGGCAUCCUAUAUGGGCACCGGUUUGAGUCCUGGUUGCUCCUCUUCCAGUCCCGCUCUCUGCUGUGGCCCGGGAAGGCAGUGGAAGAUGGCCCAAGUGCUUGGGCCCCUGCACCCGCAUGGGAGACCAGGAGGAAACACCUGGCUCCUGGCUUUGGAUCGGCAUAGUUCCAGCCGUAGCGGCCAUUUGGGGAGUGAACCAACAGAAGGAAGACCUUUCUCUCUGUCUCUCUCUCACUGUCUAAUUCUAUCUGUCAAAUAAAAAAAAAAAAAAAGAAAAUACACAGAGGAGGGAUGGGAAUUUUGAAUUAGCAUUAAAAGAGCAAAUAUUCAGGUUAUCACUCUUCAAAAGGGAUGUCAGAAUGCUCACUUUCAACCAUUUGCAUUCAACAUACUACUGGAAGUUCUAGCCAGAGCAAUGAGAUAAGAGAAAGAAAUAAAGGGCAUUCAAAUUAGAAAGUAGGAAGUCAAAUUGCCACUGUUUGUGAUGACAUAAUAUUAUAUAAAUAGUAAAUCCUGAGUAUUCCAACAAAGAUCUAUUUGAAUUAGUAAGAAAAUUCAGCAAAAUAUCAAGAUACAAAAUCAACAUACAAAAAAGUAAAUCACAUUUCCAUACAAUAGUGAACUACCUGAAAAAGAAAAAAAUUAAAUCUCAUUUCCAAUAGCUACAAAAACCAAUGGAUGAAGGUCACCAAAGAGGUAAGCUAUCUCUACAAUGAAAGCUAUAAAACACUUGUGAAUUUAAAUUGAAAGAUUCACAGAUUGGAAAAAUCAAUAUUAUUAAAGUGUCCAUAGCAUCAAAAAUUAUCUACAGAUUUAAUGUCAUCUCUAUCAAAAUAUCAAUGACAUUCUUAACAGAAUUAUUUGAAAGAAUCCUAAAAUUCAUAUGGAGCUACAAAAAAUACUAAAAGGCCAAAAUAACCUUGAGUGAAAAUAACAAAGCAGGAAAAUGAUAGUACCUGGUCUCAAAAUAUACUUCAAGUAUAAACUAGCCAGGAAACCAUAACAUUGGUUAAAAACACACAUUGACCAAUGGAACAAAAUAGAGACCACAGGACUAAACCAACAUCUACAGCAACUUGAUCUUUGAGAAAAAUGCUAAGGACACACACUGAGGAGAAAUAGUAUUGGACUCAUUGAAGGUCCAAAGGCAGAAGAACGAAACUAGACCCUUAUUUCUCCCAAUUUACAAAAUCAAUGCAAAAUGAAAGACUUAGAUGUGAGACUUAAAACUAUAAAAAGGGAUAUUUAUACACUCUUGGUGAGUAAGUAAAUAAGUACAAAAUAGUAGGAACGGUCCCUAAAAAGUUACAAUAAGAAAUACCAUGUGAUCCAGUAACCCCACUACUGGGUAAAUACCCAAAGGAAUUUAAGCUAGUGUGUCAAGGAGACUUCUGGACUCCCAUGUUUGUUGCAGCACUAUUCACAACAGCCAAGAAAGGGAACCAACCUAAGUGUCCAUCAACUGAUGAAUGAAUAAAUAAAAAGUGAUAUAAGUACACAAAGGAAUACCAUUCAACUGGAAAAAUGAAAGAAAUUCUAUCAUUUGAGACAGCAGGGAUCAACUUGGAGGUCAUCAUGAUAAGAGAAACAAGUCAGGCAUAGAAGCACAAAUAACUCAUGAUCUCACUCACAUGUGGAACUUAACAAUAUUGACCUCACAGGAGUUGGGAGUAGAAUAAUGAUUACCAGAGGCUGGGGGGAGUGCAAAGGAGGGACCAAGGGAAAACACUGGUCAACAGUACUACGUAAUACCUUUGAGAAGUAAGUUCUGAUGUUCUAUAGCACAGCAGGGGGAAUUUUGAUUAAGAUAAUGUACUGUGAUUAAGAUAAUGUACUAUGUAUUUUGGAAAAGCUAGAAGAAAAUAUCUUGAAUGUUUUCAUCACAAAGAAAUGACAUGGAACUGGCAAUGUAGUGUAGUGGGUUAAGCUGUGGCCUGCCAGCCAGAAUCCCAUAUAAGUGCUGGUUGGAGCACCAUCUGCUCUGCUUCCAAUCCAGCUUCCUGAUAAUGUGCCUGGAAGAGCAGGAUAAGAUGGCCCUUGCCACACAUGUGGAAGAAACACAUGGAGUUCCAGGUUCCUGGCUUUGGCCUGCCUACCCCUAGUUGUUGCAACCUUCUGCAAUGGGAGUCCUCCUUUAGGGUGAAGACCAUGCUAGGAGUUCUACACAGAGGACGCUGCAGGAGUCCCUGCAAGAGGAAGAGAGGCGAGGCAAGCAGGUACAGGCCUUCAGUCCCCGCUGCUGCAUGGGCUCCCAGUCCACACCCAAGGCACCGUGGUUCAGCUGCUUCCUGCCUUGCCCUUGGGAAAGUGGCCUAUUGCCUUCCUAGUGCCUCCAGAGCUUCCCUGGUCUAACCAGACCAGAGAACCCUGCUCACCGGUGGCUGAACCACCAAUGAGGUAAGAACCCACUCCAAGUUAGUCCUCACUAAUCUCCCUCCCUCCGCCUUUUCCUUCUAUAUUACAUUAGUCUUUUAUUAUUGAUAAUUAUGUAUUAUAUUAAUUAUGCAUCAUAGUAAUUCCUUCUUAUAUAUUAAUUAUUCAAUGUAUAUUAAUAUAUUGAGCUUCCUCUGUUGAACAUAUCCCCUGGUUUCCAUCUUCUUUUUUCAAAGAUUUAUUUAUUUAUUUGAAAGGCAGAGUUUCAGAGAGAAAGGUAGAGAUAGAGAGAGACAGACCCUCCAUCUGCUGAUUUACUCCCCAGAUGGCCACAAUGUCCAGGACU